AGUGAACGCUGGCGGUAGGCCUAACACAUGCAAGUCGAACGGCAGCACAGUAAGAGCUUGCUCUUACGGGUGGCGAGUGGCGGACGGGUGAGGAAUACAUCGGAAUCUACUUUUUCGUGGGGGAUAACGUAGGGAAACUUACGCUAAUACCGCAUACGACCUACGGGUGGAAGCAGGGGAUCUUCGGACCUUGCGCGAUUGAAUGAGCCGAUGUCGGAUUAGCUAGUUGGCGGGGUAAAGGCCCACCAAGGCGACGAUCCGUAGCUGGUCUGAGAGGAUGAUCAGCCACACUGGAACUGAGACACGGUCCAGACUCCUACGGGAGGCAGCAGUGGGGAAUAUUGGACAAUGGGCGCAAGCCUGAUCCAGCCAUACCGCGUAGGUGAAGAAGGCCUUCGGGUUGUAAAGCCCUUUUGUUGGGAAAGAAAAGCAGCAGGUUAAUACCCCGCUGUUCUGACGGUACCCAAAGAAUAAGCACCGGCUAACUUCGUG
rnacentral:rRNA from 1 species